ACAAAAACACCCAUAAGUUGUUUAUUAAAGUGCCGCACGUUGAUUCACACGAGAAGAACUUGGUUGAAGAGAGCUGGUAAAGAUCGGCAUAAUCUUUCGGAUAUAGCGUUUAUUUUUGUGAAGAUCACUUCGAUUUGGAAAAUGACAUGGAAUACUACCAUAGGUAUAAAAUUAUGGGUUCUGUGAAAAUAAUUAAGAUGAAAACCAAUUGCAUUCCUUCAAAAUUUCAUUGUCAAAUUACAUCAACAAUGGAACCAUUAAUGAUUGUUAAAGAAGAAGUUGAAACAAAUCCUAAAGAAAACCAAAUUCAAGAAUAUGAGGUACCAAUAAUCUAUGCUGUUCAAGAUCUACCAUUCGAAGGAGUUUUUAUUAAACAAGAAAUCAUAACAGACAGAUAAAUAGAUCACUUUCAGAAGUUGGAAUAAUAAAUGACAUUUCUUGAUCUGUAGAGUUUGGCACUUGCUUGCCUAGACGAGACAAGCAAAGUGCAAUUGUACUUUCUUAUUGAAGAUCUUCGAAACUUCAUU